GUUCUGGUGGCCUAGUGGUUAGAGCUUUCGCCUUGUAUGCGGGAGGUUGCGGGUUCGAACCGCCGACUUAUAAAA